UUGUCUCAUAAAGAGAUAUCCACAGCCAACACAACAUAUAAUCAGUUCCUUCUCCACAGUUACUGAACACUCUGACCCUCACCAUGGAAUGGAGCUGUAUCCUCUUUCUAUGGGCAGCAUCUACAGGUAUCUACUCCCAGGUCCAGCUUCCUCAGUCUGGAUCUGAGGUGGGGCGGACUGGUGCCUCAGUGAAGAUGUUCUGCAAGGCUUCUGGCUACACAUUCACUAACUACUAUAUGCAUUGAUUAAAGCAGAGUCAUGGAGAUAGCCUAGAGUGGAUUUGAUAUAUUUAUCCUGGAAAUGGUCUUACUAGCUAUGCCAAGAAGUUCAAAGGCAAGGCCACAUUGACUAUAGACAAUUCAGCCAGCACAGCCUACAUGCAGCUCAGCAGCAUGACAUCUGAAGCCUCUGAUGACUAUUACUGUGCUAGACAAGUGCAUAGUGUUUCAACCACAACCUGAGUGUACCAUAAACUCCCAAGGAGCAGGAAGCUGAAAUGACAGAGAUUAGCCUGGAGACUAUUGCUCAGAAAUAUUCACGCUGAGUGUCCCUUUAUCUGUUCCUAUUCACUGUACUAUAUGGUCUUGGUCAAAAUUUGAAAAUUAUAACCAAAUAAAGUGAUGUUAAUAAUGUUUAUCCCCUAUAACACAAUGUCUGUUCACGAUCUCUUGAGUAGUGACCAUCUCUGUUUGAAUGUUUCUUCUUUAGUAAAAC
rnacentral:lncRNA from 1 species